AUACUUACCUGGUGUUAUGAAGGCCAAUGGCCUACCUUCGGCUUUCCCAUCGCACAUAGGCUUGGCUGGCCUAUCAUCCCAAAGUGGAGGACUGGACGUUGUAAUUUGUGGAAGUUGAGGGCUCGCGUGCUCGCGGCCCUCUC
rnacentral:snRNA from 1 species